GGGCUGCUGCCUUGCUGGGUCCGAAGACGGGGAUCCCGGCUUCGCGGACGGCGUCCGAUACGCCGGCGGCCAGC
rnacentral:tRNA from 1 species